UACGGAGGGCGCGAGCGUUAAUCGGAAUUACUGGGCGUAAAGCGCGCGUAGGCUGUUGUGUAAGUUGGGGGUGAAAUCCCACGGCUCAACCGUGGAACAGCCCUUGAUACUGCGCGACUUGAAUCCGGGAGAGGGUGGCGGAAUUCCAGGUGUAGGAGUGAAAUUCGUAGAUAUCUGGAGGAACAUCAGUGGCGAAGGCGGCCACCUGGACCGGUAUUGACGCUGAGGCGCGAAAGCGUGGGGAGCAAACGGG
rnacentral:rRNA from 1 species